GCGGGCGUAGUUCAAAGGUAGAACGAAAGCUUCCCAAGCUUUAGAUGAGGGUUCGAUUCCCUCCGUCCGCUCCA
rnacentral:tRNA from 1 species